rnacentral:rRNA from 1 species
CAGAGGCCCCAAGCGUUACUGAGAAUCACUGGGUUUAAAGGGUGCGUAGGUGGCGCGUUAAGUCCGUUGUGAAUCCCUUGGCUCAACCAAGGAAUGGCUUCGGAUACUGGCGUGCUUGAGGUUGGUAUGGGUCACUGGAACUGACGGUGGAGCGGUGGAAAUGCGUAGAUAUCGUCAGGAACGCCAAUGGUGAAGACAGGUGACUGGGCCAAUUCUGACACUGAGGCACGAAAGCGUGGGGAGCGAACGGGAUUAGAUACCCCGGUAGUCCACGCCCUAAACGAUGCAGACUAGACUGCAGCGGGUUACACCCCGUUGCGGUCGGAGCGAAAUUGUUAAGUCUGCCACCUGGGAAGUACGGUCGCAAGGCUAA